rnacentral:lncRNA from 1 species
GCCAAACAGUGUUGACAGUGCUUAUGUAUGCACUAUUUCAUCAUAACAGCCACUUUACAGGUGAGGGAGCAGAGCACUGGGAGGGUGACGCAGCUCACACAAGGUCAUACCGCUGGUAAGGGUGGAGAGGAGAUUGAAGUCCGGGCAGUCGAGUCCAGAGCCAGCAUAUUUAACCUCUGUACUGUACACUUCUCCACAGAAUGGGUUCAUUUUCUUUUAGGUUCUGUUUUAGUUCUAAGGUUGGUGCUAAUAGGCCCAGGCUGGUCCUGGCUACACUGGGAAUCCAACAGUCACCUGGAAAAGUAUUUGUUUGGAUCCAUGGCUUUGUGCAGAGCUGGUGAGGGUCUCACGUAAGACGUGCAAGUGUGAUCCCUCCAACACGACAAGAAUCGACACGAGGAUGUUCAAAACCUAAGCCCGGCAAGACACUCAGCACCCUCUUCACUGACUGCUGCGUGUUACCAGCCCAACGAACACCUCCUGUGAGACAAGCUGUUCAAUUCUGAGUCUGUGUGUUUUCUCUAAACAGUUCUAAAAUUAUUAAGCUGGAUCAUUUAUUAGAGUUUUACAUCAAUCAAGGUAGCACCACUUCUUUCGUCAUAAAACUUGAUACUGCCAUCUUUCUGGAUCCCUGUAAUUAAGCUUGGUCAAUGGAUAAUUGGACAAGAAAUGUCAGGGAGAGUAUGAGUCUCUCAUACCCAUCCUGGAAAGAUCAACUGACAGCGGUCUCCAGGGCAGGGAACUUCUGUCUUAUACGUCCAAGCUCAAGUCAACCCCCUCUUCUCCUCUCCCUCCACAGGCACUUAUAAAUUCCAGUUUGCUGCAGCGCUUGGAAGAGGUUAUGCAGCUGUCAUGAUGCAAUGUUCAAGGCAGACGGCCUCCCAUAACUCAGAGGCCAAGACAAACAGGAAUAUAUUAAUAGCAGCCAUAACAUAAAGAUAAUUUAUUUUCAGUAUCUGGGAGCUGAGGGGAUCAGCAGAUUGACUGUUAAGCAUGUAGGCAUUAAAGCGAAGGAGCUUAACAAAUAGGAAAAAAGGCAGGAGAGAGACGGAGAGAAGAAAGAUGGAUCUCCUUUGGAAACAAUGUAGCACCUGCACCAAUUCACUUAAAAACAACGAUGUGGUGACUGGCCAGCCAGACGAAAAGGCAAAGACACUCUCCUAAAGCCCCUGGCUCUGUCAUUUGGGUGCAGGUACCACCCAAGGGGCCACCCUCUUUUUCAUACUAGAAGAGAGAUCACCCAGGAAACACUUUGCUUUUCUUUACCCCUUCUCGCCACUACAUCAUUGUUCGGCUUGCUGGCCUGACGGCAGUAAACAAACAAAGAAACCCAUAGUUUGAAUUUAGUAUAACACCACAGCACCUUUCUUAGUGGAACGGCAAGAAAGAAUGAGAAAGCUUUUCUCCACCUCUUUUUAAACCCAUAAAACCUGAAGUGAAUGAGUCACGUUGCAGCUUUCGUUUUUCUAAAACAUAGCAGGGAACACGUUUUGAUUGUGUGCUCCCAGAGUGUAUCCCGUGCACUCCCCAAAAUGUCACAAAUAGAACUUAAGAAAAUGGUCUGGCCACCGAAUAGGCUGAUCAUCAACAUGGCAAAAUCUUGUACUCACACAGUAAAUUCUCACAUGAAAUUGUUUAUAAUCAACUUUAAAAAAUAAUAAUAUCAACAUUGUUUAACUCCUAGGACUUCACGUCAAAAAUUAAAUGUUCGCGGGGCUGGCCCCGUGGCCAAGUGGUUAAGUUCGCAUGCUCCGCUGCAGGCGGCCCAGUGUUUUGUUGGUUCGAAUCCUGGGCGCAGACAUGGCACUGCUCAUCAAACCACGCUGAGGCAGCGUCCCACAUGCCACAACUAGAAGGACCCACAACGAAGAAUAUACAACUAUGUACCGGGGGGCUUUGGGGAGAAAAAGGAAAAAAAUAAAAUCUUUAAAAAAAAAAAAUUAAGUGUUCGC